AGAAUCCAGUUAUUUUCACUUCACCGGCACAACAGUUUAUCCAUUCCCAAAUUCCACGUCAGCAUAGAUAAAGAAAUAAAAUUGGAAAACAAGAAACAGAAACAUGAGAAAAAUAAAAACAGAGAACUGUGCAAACGCAACGAAAACCAAACCAAAGCUAAGAACAAAAAAAAAACAAAACAAAACAGUAAGCAAACAAAACAAGAAAACAUACAAAAGAAAAUGACUUCUUCUCUUUUUAAAUUUAAUGUCCUUUUAAACUUCUUUACAUAGAACAUCUUCCAGAAUCCUAACUUUACAUUUUUCCCUUCCCAAAGUGGUCUUGAAGCCCUCUCCAAAUUUAGUGAAUAAAUUAUCAGGGAACUUAAGAGGAACACUGUUGACUAGUAUUUUAACUAUUGCCAAAGGGAAUGGUCAUUUGGUUUGGAGAUGGAGGUCAAUGCUGGAAAUUCCUGUUCAAAUGAGAAACAACCAUCUGAGUGUCCAAAAUGUGCUGAUAAAGAGAAAAAGCCUGCAGAAAAAGAUGCAAGCAUUUCUGUAUUUGUAAAUCAUGCUGCAAUUGCUUGGCAUGAGAACAGAAGAAGGUGGGUGGGGGAUAAAUCUCAACAGUCACGAAAGAUCAGUAAGGAUCCAGUUCUAAGUUGCCCAAAUACCAUGUGGAUGAUAACUGCAAAAACUUUCUGUUGCAGCUGGUCCACAACAUAUGAAGAGCUUCUCUUAACUAAUGAGCCUUUUCCUGAACCAAUUCCUUUGCCAGGCUAGGGAGGCUUGUUCGGCAGUGUUUUACUAUUUCAAAAUGGGCUGGUCUGACAAAUCAAGCUUGGUUUAGCGGUUAUUUUCCUCUCUUUAGGGGAGAUGGUAGAUUUUCUAGUUGAUAUUUGGCACGAUGAUGGGCUCUUUGAUUAGAUAAUCAGUGAUGAUGGUGAAGUAGUGGCAUGUAGACUGUUAGACAGUGGAGGACUUGCUUCUUGUCGCUGACUUUUGUAAAUUAUUUUUUGGUCUUAUUGCAGAUUACAGAUAUCCAAAGCCUCCAUUAAUAUUCAUUAGAUUGACUGCCUGUUGCAGUCCUGGAUUUUCUUUGCGCCCUUGGGCUUAUUAAACUCUCAUUUUGACAUAGUACGAACUAUGAACAUAUUGGCUAGCAAAAGGAAAUUGAUGUAUUAGACUCAUUAUGAACUAAUGAAAUCCUAAAGACAGCGUGAGUAUAUUUGCUAAAUUUCGUUGGCAUUUUAAUAUAAUCUCUUAGCAAUUUACUUAUUUUAUGUAACUUCAUAACCUACAGGAUCAACUUUUUGUUCAUGAUCUUCCUUGAUGAAUUCAAUUAAGUUUUGCAUUUUUAUUUUGAUGAACGAGUGCAGGAAUUUAUGUUUUUCUAUACAAGCUUCAUUGCUGGUACUUUAUAUAGGAUUUGGUUUCAUUAUUUUUAAUCCAUUAUUUUUCAAUACAUUUAUACGAUUAUAUCAUUAUUCACACAUGUAGAAUCUAUUAAAAAAUUAUGAAUUAUAUUGGGGAGUCAUAAAACAGAGUCGGAUUAAUUUUGUCAGGGUGAUCUCAUUUAUUUAUUGAAAGCAUUCUUGUAUUUGCUUCAAUGUUUGA